AGCCCGCUCAGAACUUAAAGGAAUUGACGGGGCCGCACAAGCGGUGGAGUAUGUGGUUUAAUUCGAUGCAACGCGAAGAACCUUACUGGUCUUGACAUCCCGGAGACCCUUAGGAAACUAGGGGGUGCUUCCAUCUGGAAGAAUCUGGAGACAGGUGCUGCAUGGCUGUCGUCAGCUCGUGUCGUGAGAUGUUGGGUUAAGUCCCGCAACGAGCGCAACCCUUGCCUUUAGUUGCCAGCAGUUCGGCUGGGCACUCUAAAGGGACUGCCGGUGUUAAACCGGAGGAAGGUGGGGAUGACGUCAAGUCCUCAUGGCCUUUAUGACCAGGGCUACACACGUACUACAAUGGCCGAUACAAAGGGCAGCGACACUGCGAGGUGAAGCCAAUCCCGUAAAAUCGGUCUCAGUCCGGAUUGGAGUCUGCAACUCGACUCCAUGAAGUUGGAAUCGCUAGUAAUCGUGGAUCAGCAUGCCACGGUGAAUACGUUCCCGGGCCUU
rnacentral:rRNA from 1 species